rnacentral:pre_miRNA from 1 species
UGAAUUGAAACUAAGAAAGCAGUUAAUUUUAUUGAUAUGUCAGAUUGUUCUAUUCAGUGAGAUGUAAUGAAAUGUCGUUAAUUCUGAGCCGAAUUUGGAUAUUUUUAUUCCGUAAAGAAAUAAUACUGCUUUUUGUGUCACUCUU